AGUUCUCCUUUGAUCACAGAAGUUAAGCAAUGUUGACCCUGGUCAGUAAUCAGAUGGGUGACCACUGGGGAAUACCAGGUGUUGUUA